CAAUUCCAGCUUCACCUCCACCUGUUCUGGCUUCCUCAUCCUCGCCAUCACCUACCCUGCUCACUGCUGUCAAGACUGGAGUGAUUCUCUGGUGUGGUGCGUGUCAUGUGACCUCUCGCCCCUCCCUGUCAUGUGAUCGCGCUGAGCCAAUCGAGUCUUCCUCAUUCAGAGGAGUGGGGGAGCCAGCCCACACCUGUGGACAGGUGUUUCUAUUUGGAACCAAUCCAUGGCGAGCAGGAACCGAGAGCUGGGGGCUACUGUGUCCACCUAAUAACUAGCAGAAACUACUGGUCUGGUAGGAAGGCUGCCACAGCCUGUCCCCCCCAUACACUCUAUUAACUCCGGUGCAUAAUCCCACUCACUCCUUCUAACAAUAACCCUUGGAUAUUCAAUACAACCUCACCACCAAACCCUCGUGGGCCGUUGCAUCAGUUCUGUACUCAGGACUGUACAUAUUUUCUGUUGUGUGACACAAGUUUUGUUGUUCAAUUCCAAUCCAACCAAUAACUUUUGAAGUGCACUUAUCAACCAAUCUCUAAAUGCAGUUGUAAAAAUGUUGGGUUUUUUAAAUGUUUUCCUUUUUCUGUUGUAAAUAUUUUGUUCUACACAAUACAUUUUACCUGCACCCAACUUAAUUUUCUGUUUUUGUGCAUUAGUGUUGUCCC